rnacentral:rRNA from 1 species
UGGGAAUAUUGCGCAAUGGGGGAAACCCUGACGCAGCAACGCCGCGUGAAGGAAGACGGUUUUCGGAUUGUAAACUUCUUUUAUUGAGGACGAAACAAAUGACGGUACUCAAUGAAUAAGCUCCGGCUAACUACGUGCCAGCAGCCGCGGUAAUACGUAGGGAGCAAGCGUUGUCCGGAAUUACUGGGUGUAAAGGGCGAGUAGGCGGGACAAAAAGUCAGAUGUGAAAACUAUGGGCUCAACCCAUAGCCUGCAUUUGAAACUUUUGUUCUUGAGAGAUGGAGAGGUAAGCGGAACUCCUAGUGUAGCGGUGAAAUGCGUAGAUAUUAGGAGGAACACCAGUGGCGAAGGCGGCUUACUGGACAUUUACUGACGCUGAGGAGCGAAAGCGUGGGGAGCGAAC